rnacentral:rRNA from 1 species
GACGAACGCUGGCGGCGUGCUUAACACAUGCAAGUCGAACGCUGAAGCCUGGUGCUUGCACCGGGUGGAUGAGUGGCGAACGGGUGAGUAAUACGUGAGUGACCUGCCUUUGACUCUGGGAUAAGCCUGGGAAACUGGGUCUAAUACCGGAUACGACGACUGGCCGCAUGGUCUGGUCGUGGAAAGGGUUAUGUACUGGUCUUAGAUGGGCUCACGGCCUAUCAGCUUGUUGGUGGGGUAAUGGCCUACCAAGGCGACGACGGGUAGCCGGCCUGAGAGGGUGACCGGCCACACUGGGACUGAGACACGGCCCAGACUCCUACGGGAGGCAGCAGUGGGGAAUAUUGCACAAUGGGCGCAAGCCUGAUGCAGCGACGCCGCGUGAGGGAUGACGGCCUUCGGGUUGUAAACCUCUUUCAGCAGGGAAGAAGCGGAAGUGACGGUACCUGCAGAAGAAGCGCCGGCUAACUACGUGCCAGCAGCCGCCGUA